UCCAUAGAGUUGAGAUUUGUUUUGUUCUCUGCCCAGGGAUGGAGUGACAGCAGUGUUCAAUGAAUUCAAGGAGAUGCUAGGUGUUUCUCCAUCUACCAUCUCAUGUGCAUUUUCUGACAAAGGUUUGAUUUUCAUUACUGUAUUUUACCAAUGAUGGACAUUAUUACAGAUGAUGUUUUUAUAUUGGGCAUUGAUUUUCCCUGAAAUUAAAACUAAACUAAAGCACCUUUCAUUUCUUCCAGCUGGAAUUUGGACAACACAUUUCACAUGUGGCUAUCCUUUACAGGCACCUGAGAGAGGCUAAGAUUUAAAGAAGUUGUUUGGAGUCUUUUUCUCAGCACAGGCAACAUUUACCACUUCUGAAUUAAAACAAAUGAUGGAUUUCCACCUAAGUUCAAAUUGACCUUUGCUAUUUUCGCCUGACUUCUUCAGCCCUCAUAACUCAUUUUAAACUUUGUUUCAAUGAUGUGGCGCUGCUCUCUGCCUUUGCCUUUGCUGCAAAUAAGGCCCGCCCACUGAGUCUCUGCUUCCCACAGCAGUAGACUUGCAGACUGCAGAGUCAUUUAAUAGUGUUCGUGAAGAAAAGUUGAUGACUCACUGCACAGCCCCUGGGGAGGGAGGAGGUGAUUGCAAACAAUUUAGAACACGGCAAGAAAGCCUAGCAUGACUGCCUUGCAGCAAUCAAACACCUACCACAAAAAAAAAAAAAAAGUCUUGUCUGAACUUGAUUGAAUGCUGAUUUAAUUUUUCCAGAAAUAUGUUAGCUGAGCAGUCUGCUGGGCUCAACACUAUUUCCCUUACUCUGGCAGAGUGGAAGUUGUAACCACACUAAGUUUUAUAGCUUCAGAUAAUAUGUAUUCGGAAAAAAAGAUCUCCCUAAAGAUUUUUUUUUAUCUCAAAACAUGUGAUUCUAAUUUUAUAGGAGGGGAUGUCACUGUUUUAUUUGAAUUCUUAUGAAAAAAAAAGCAUUUUUGGUUUGCUUUUGCUUUUGCUUUCUAAAAUAGAAACCAAGAUCUAAUACACAUCAGCCAUCUAAAGUGGAUGCAGGGAACAGUUGCCAUGGGUUGGAGAGGCGGCUCAGCUGUUAAAAGCAUACUGCUAGUCUUUGUUUGUUUUCUGUUGCUGCGAUAUACACAUUAACCAAAAGCAAAGCUGGGGAGAAAAGGCUUUAUUUCAGCUUACAACUUCUGGGCCAUACUCUAUCACUGUGAGAAGCCAGGGCAAGAGCUCAGGCCGGAGCAGAUGCAGAGGCGGUAUAGAGGGGUGCACCUUACUGACUUGCUCCUCAUGGAUUGCUCAGCUUGCUGAGGACCUCCUGCGUGGGAUGGCACCAUGUAUAGGGAGCUAAGCACUCCCACAUCAACCAUAAAUCAAGAAAUUGCCAGACAUGCUUGGUGCUUUCGGCCUGGAGCCAUGUUGAUGUCCAUGACCACAGCUACAUCUCAGGCCUUUGUCUGGGUCCUUGGCCAUACUGCAACUGGGAGCCCUGUUAAUGGUCUUUGCUGAAACCAGAAGCCAAGUGGAAGCCCAUGAUCCAUGCUCCCUUGGUUCCUAAACAGCAAAUAAGCUACUUUGGCAGUGAUAUCGAUGACUGGAGAUGCACAGUUGAGAAAGAGGGACAUGGAAGACUUCUGUGACAACCCCUACCUCCACCUUCAUCCACCUCUCCCAAAAUAGUAACAGCCUAAACAGGAAACCAUCAAAAAGAACACUUAAACUGUGAUAGGAUGCUCUCCACACCAGAUAGCUUCCAGAAGGGUUGCGGGAGGGGAAGGACUCAGUCCUAUUUAAGUGACAGGCCACUGAGAGUUUGCACAUGUUCUGGUGAGUAUAUAAACAACACAAAUUGGACUUUUUUUUUUU